rnacentral:rRNA from 1 species
GUCUACGGCCAUACCACUCUGAACGCGCCCGAUCUCGUCUGAUCUCCGAAGCUAAGCAGGGUUGGGCCUGGUUAGUAUUUGGAUGGGAGACAAUCAAGAGGCAGAAUUUGUUUGUU